rnacentral:rRNA from 1 species
UACGAAGGGGACUAGCGUUGUUCGGAAUCACUGGGCGUAAAGCGCACGUAGGCGGAUUCGUAAGUCAGGGGUGAAAUCCCGGGGCUCAACCUCGGAACUGCCUUUGAUACUGCGGGUCUUGAGUCCGAUAGAGGUGGGUGGAAUUCCUAGUGUAGAGGUGAAAUUCGUAGAUAUUAGGAAGAACACCGGUGGCGAAGGCGGCUCACUGGUCCGGUACUGACGCUGAGGUGCGAAAGCGUGGGGAGCAAACAGG